rnacentral:rRNA from 3 species
UGACGACCAUAGAGCGUUGGAACCACCUGAUCCCAUCCCGAACUCAGCAGUGAAACGAUGCAUCGCCGAUGGUAGUGUGGGGUUUCCCCAUGUGAGAGUAGGUCAUCGUCAAGAUU